GAAAUGCGAUAAGUAAUGUGAAUUGCAGAAUUCCGUGAAUCAUCGAGUUUUUGAACGCACAUUGCGCCCCUUGGCAUUCCGAGAGGCACACCUGUUCGAGCGUCAUGACAACCAUCAAGCCGGGCUUGGUCUUGGGCGCGGCCCCCCCCGGCCCGCCUGAAAGACGUUGGCGGCUCGGCCCGACCCGCGUGUGACGACCUCACCGUUCCGGGUCGUGGCGCGCGCCCGCCCCCUCCGUUUUCCCUCUGGUUGACCUCGGAUCAGGUGGGGAUACCCGCUGAACUUAA
rnacentral:misc_RNA from 1 species